GGGCGUAGCAAUACGUCAGCGGCAGACGGGUGAGUAACGCGUGGGAACGUACCUUUUGGUUCGGAACAACACAGGGAAACUUGUGCUAAUACCGGAUAAGCCCUUACGGGGAAAGAUUUAUCGCCGAAAGAUCGGCCCGCGUCUGAUUAGCUAGUUGGUGAGGUAAUGGCUCACCAAGGCCACGAUCAGUAGCCGGUCUGAGAGGACGGUCGGCCACACUGGAGCUGAGACACGGUCCAGACUCCUACGGGAGGCAGCAGUGGGGAAUUUUUCGCAAUGGGGGCAACCCUGACGAAGCAACGCCGCGUGGGUGAUGAAGUAUUUCGGU
rnacentral:rRNA from 1 species